AUGAAGAAGAAACAGAAUGGUGACUCAGCUUCUUCCCAUGGAAAUAAAAAGCAGCCAAACAACAAUCCAGCUCCCCCUCAAAAAAAGAAACCAAAACAAAUCUCCACAAGGGAGAUUUCUUCAGAAGGGUACAGGACAUGGAAAUGCUGUGUAAGAGCCUGCACAGAUCUGAAGAGUCAAGAGAUAAGCCACAGUAAAACAUGGAAUUCCGCCUCUGUACUUCAGUAGAAAAAUUAACUGCAAACAUUUGAAAGUGGAUGAAGGAAACGGGUUAAGCAAAAGAACAUUUCUGAGCAUGUGAAGGAAAUUGCUCUAAAGAUACACUACCUUUAGCAUAUUUAUCUUCUGAUUUGAAAAUCAACUGUGAACCUGAUAUUUUAUCAGACAUUGGGUCCUGGAGGAUGAGAGCAAUAAAACUGCAGCUCCUUAGUUUAGGUAAAACA
rnacentral:lncRNA from 1 species